rnacentral:rRNA from 1 species
AUGCGAACUCAUCCGAGGCCUCGCAAUCGGAAUGAGUACACUUUAAAUCCUUUAACGAGGAAUCUAUUGGGGCAAGUCUGGUGCCAGCAGCCCGCCGUAAUUCCAGCUCCAAUAGCGAUAUUAAAGUUGUUGCGGUUAAAAAGCUCGUAGUUGGAUUUCAGUUCUGGACUGACGUUCACCGCCCGGUGCAUACUGUCACGCUCCGAACAGCCACAACAGCCCGCUGGCUCGCACGGGGUGCUCUUCAUCGAGUGUCCCGCGUGGCCGGCAGAGUUUACUUUGAAAAAAUUAGAGUGCUCAAAGCAGGCUACACUUACGGCCUGAAUGCCUAUGCAUGGAAUAAUGGAAUAGGACCUCGGUUCUAUUUUGUCGGUUUUCUGAACCCGAGGUAAUGACUAAUAGGAACAGGCGGGGGCAUUCGUAUUGCGACGCUAGAGGUGAAAUUCUUGGACCGUCGCAAGACGAACUACUGCGAAAGCAUUUGCCAAGGAUGUUUUCAUUAAUCAAGAACGAAAGUUAGAGGUUCGAAGGCGAUCAGAUACCGCCCUAGUUCUAACCAUAAACGAUGCUGACCAGCGAUCCGCCGGCGUUAUUCCCAUGACCCGGCGGGCAGCUUCCGGGAAACCAAAGUCUUUGGGUUCCGGGGAAGUAUGGUUGCAAAGCUGAAACUUAAAGGAAUUGACGGAAGGGCACCACCAGGAGUGGAGCCUGCGGCUUAAUUUGACUCAACACGGGGAACCUCACCAGGCCCAGACACCGGAAGGAUUGACAGAUUGAGAGCUCUUUCUCGAUUCGGUGGGUGGUGGUGCAUGGCCGUUCUUAGUUGGUGGAGCGAUUUGUCUGGUUAAUUCCGAUAACGAACGAGACUCUGGCCUACUAACUAGUCGACGGAUCUCCAGCAAUUGGUGUCCAGUUCGCAGCUUCUUCUUAGAGGGAUAAGCGGCAACUUUAGCCGCACGAGAUUGAGCAAUAACAGGUCUGUGAUGCCCUUAGAUGUUCUGGGCCGCACGCGCGCUACACUGAAGGGAUCAACGUGUCCUCCCCUCCGAGAGGAGCGGGUAACCCGUUGAAAUCCUUUCAUGAUAGGGAUUGGGGUUUGCAAUUGUCUCCCAUGAACGAGGAAUUCCCAGUAAGCGCAAGUCAUGAGCUUGCGUUGAUUACGUCCCUGCCCUUUGUACACACCGCCCGUCGCUACUACCGAUUGAAUGAUUUAGUGAGGCCUUCGGACUGGCGCUCUUGGAUGCCGGGCCCACGCGGUUCCGCCGCUGGGCUUUCGGCGCCUCGAGCUGACGGAAAGAUGUCCAAACUUGAUCAUUUAGAGGAAGUAAAAGUCGUAACAAGGUUUCCGUAGGUGAACCUGCGGAAG